rnacentral:rRNA from 1 species
AGUCGACGGCAGCACAGGGGAGCUUGCUCCCUGGGUGGCGAGUGGCGGACGGGUGAGGAAUACGUCGGAAUCUGCCUUUUCGUGGGGGAUAACGUAGGGAAACUUACGCUAAUACCGCAUACGACCUACGGGUGAAAGCCGGGGACCUUCGGGCCUGGCGCGGAAAGAUGAGCCGACGUCGGAUUAGCUAGUUGGAGGGGUAAUGGCCCACCAAGGCGACGAUCCGUAGCUGGUCUGAGAGGAUGAUCAGCCACACUGGAACUGAGACACGGUCCAGACUCCUACGGGAGGCAGCAGUGGGGAAUAUUGGACAAUGGGCGCAAGCCUGAUCCAGCCAUGCCGCGUGUGUGAAGAAGGCCUUCGGGUUGUAAAGCACUUUUGUACGGGAAGAAAAGCUUCCGGUUAAUACCCGGGAGUCAUGACGGUACCGUAAGAAUAAGCACCGGCUAACUUCGUGCCAGCAGCCGCGGUAAUACGAAGGGUGCAAGCGUUACUCGGAAUUACUGGGCGUAAAGCGUGCGUAGGUGGUUUGUUAAGUCUGAUGUGAAAGCCCUGGGCUCAACCUGGGAAUUGCAUUGGAUACUGGCAGUCUAGAGUGCGGUAGAGGGUAGCGGAAUUCCCGGUGUAGCAGUGAAAUGCGUAGAUAUCGGGAGGAACAUCCGUGGCGAAGGCGGCUACCUGGACCAGCACUGACACUGAGGCACGAAAGCGUGGGGGAGCAAACAGGAUUAGAUACCCUGGUAGUCCACGCCCUAAACGAUGCGAACUGGAUGUUGGGG